CUCAAAACUGGAAAGGAAAACAGCGUGGUCGGCCUCUCGUUCCUGCGACGCGUUCUGUGGGUGAUGGAAAGAUGGGGGAGGAGGAGGGACCACCCAGGGUGCCCCCCGCCGACCGUUACCCGCCCUUUGCCCCAAGGCUGUCUUUGAGGUCGGUCUUUCUGGGGCUGUGGCCCAAAUGAAGUCAAGAGACAGCAUCGGGCGUUGACUGUCCCCUCGUGUGGGCCGGGCACCGACCCUGCCUGGGGUUGCUGGGCACCAGCGCUCGUCACAAUAAAAAACCCACAGUGAAGAUGGGUCAGGGGUUUGCACUGCGCCAGGUCUGCUCAUCCCCAAAGCCACGGUUUUCCCAUCGCAGGUGGUCUGGAAGCACCAGACGGCGCGCGUGUGGGGUGGCCAGCGACGGGCUGCCACGGAGGUGUGCGACCUGCAGGCCACAGACAUUCCCAGAGAGCCCCUGCGUGCAAAACAUGGACACACAGAUGUUUGUGAAGCUCUGGGAUGGCGUUUAGCAGGAGGAAUAACGGGGUCUUCAGAGAAUCAACAAAAUAAAUGUAGCACCUGUUGGGUUAUUGAAACCAGUUGUUAUUAGGAAGGGAUCUGGGGCAAUUGAUGAAGAAACAGGAAGACGACAAAACUCAAGGUCCAAGAAUGAGGAAGCCGAGGAAGAAUGAGGAAGCCGAGGAAGAAUGAGGAAGCCGAGGAAGAAUGAGGAAGCCGAGGAAGAAUGAGGAAGCCGAGGAAGAAAGCAGCCGCCGUGUGGAGCCGCCCAGAGACUGGCACUCACCUGUGUCACUGUGCGGGGAGGGCAGGGUCUCGCCAGCAGCCGGUGGCACAUGCGGGCGGCACGGGGGCUGCGUGGUGGCCUCUGUGAUGUCACCUGGCAGAGGUGCCUGAGCUGGGCCCGGCGUGGAGGGCAUAGGCCUCACUCUCUGACUGCCUGACAGUCCCUACAGUGAGCGGGACCCCCUUAUUAAGGCUGUGGGGCAGAGUGGGGUGACAGGUGUUGAGGGGUGGGGCCCAGCCCCGGGCACCCGCAUGUUCCUCUCUGCCCCUGGGAGAAGUGUUGAGAGACGGAGCUCGGGAUCAGCUGGCAUAUCCACCAUGUUCCAGGGUCGACCAGGGAGCACAGAGCCCUGAACAUCCCUUCAACAGCGCGCCACACGCUCCUGGCACAAACUCCAGACCACGGCACAGCACCCAGAUGGCUGCAGCCACGCAGAAACCCACAACUGCCAGGACCGUGGGGUGACAGCCACGGUGGGCUCUGCAGGCCCCUCUGGUCUAAGACACCAGGAGGCCACAUCCAGCAACCAAGGCCACCCGGCAGGACACGUCAGGAUGGAGGUGCAGUGAAGACUGCGGUGGACGCCUCCAGAGGUUCCCACUUGGCUUCCAGUGGAGCCUCUGCCAAACCCGGCCUGUGCAAGGGCAGAGACAAGGCCCAGCAGGGCUCGAGCAGGCCCAAACGCACGACGCAGCUGCUGUGCCUGGGUCUGAGCUGCACCCACAGUUUUCCUGGCGUCUUGUCCUCUGGAUGGGCCUCUGGAUGAACAUAAACUCCAGGGAAGCUGCAUAGAAUAUGCAGCUCUUCUUUAACGCUCCCUAGAGGAAGAAAGCCCCUCAGCCGGAAGUAUUGUUGACGUCGCCGCCACUACUAAUGAAAUAUUUACUGAAAAGCCAAAGCGAAACAUUUUUCUAGUUAAUUAAAACAGUGCAUCUUUCAAGCAAGCUCCCUCGAGGGGCCAGGCUCGGACGGACCCAGCGGGCAGGCAACCCGAGGUGCUCCUGAGUGGGGUCUCGACUGGGAAGGGGGCGCCCAGGACGCAGGUGGGGUUCCUGCCACACGACACUGAGGGGUGGGGGGACAGACGCUGCAGAGACCCUGCGAAAGGCCCCUCCCGAUGGGUAAACUCACACUUGGUACACGCUGGCAGGGGCAUCUGGGCCUGCACUCUGGAAUUGGUGGUGGUCCUGGGAAGGUUUUUUGGGCCAGGGACAAGAGUACUUGGGUUUGCUUUCUGGAAAAAUGAAAAAAGAGAAGUUUCUGUGUUCUCUCAGCUGUGUUAAACGCUGGCAGAAGUUGCCUCUCGGACCCUCCGCAGGGCUAUGACAGGCUGGAGAAGUGGGGGCUCGGGAGGGAGCUCAAACAGCCUGCAGACUCCGCCGCAGAGUCCGCACCCCUGGAAGGAGGCGUCGGGGAAGGCACUGCACCCACGCAUGGCUUCGAGGGCAGGAGGCAGGUUGCACAGCGGGGGUCACAGGCUCCUCUGUCCCAGGUGGGACUGGGCGAUCCCAGACACGUGUGCUGUGGCCUCUGGGCCUCAUGCGGAGAGCAGAUGCCAGGGCCUGCAACUCUGACCUCUGAGCACACAGGCCGGCCUCAGGGAAGGGUUGUUCUGGCUGUGGGAACCUGAACUCGAAAUGGCCUCCGUUCGCUGCAGACACUGCCCGCCUGCACCGGGGACUCAGCCCAGGCAGCUCUGCACACACCUCAGCACCACCCACCCUCAGGCCUCAGCCGCGCUACCCAGCAGGCGCUUUUGCCCAGAACGCCUGCUCAGAACACCGUGAGCCACUGCCCGGCGCUGAGCCGGGGCCUCCGGAACGUGAACCAAGCGGCUGCAGCCCAGGCCCAGAGCCACCGGCAUCGCCCCAUGGCAGCUGCAGGACCUGGAGUGGGCAGGGUCCAGGCCAGGGAGCGGGGUAGCCCUCACCCAGGAACUCUGCCCCGGGGGGUCUCUUCCUAAAAGUGCUGGAGUUGAUGGAUCUGGUUAGAGCACCAGAGCCCAGCCCAUGGCUCUCCAGGAGUCUGGGGCCCUCAGUGAGGUGUGUCGAUGGGGACUAGGAACUGGGGAGAGUCAGGUGGAAGGGAAUGUUCCAGAAUGCCUAUUUGAGAGACUCAGAACAAACGUGUUUCUUGUCCUUUGUGCCGUGGCCGGGCAUCGUGGAGAAGCUGCAUCCAGGGCGGGCCCAGCCAGGCAGCGCCUGCCUCCCCACUGCCAGCCCCUGAGAUGGUCUCAUCCGCUGGGCGAGCAGGCCAGGGCUGCCCGUCUCCACCUUUGUGCUGGACCAUUUACAAUCAAAGCGCAGCAUCGAGAUACCCAGGAAAGAGCCAGGAACAGGCCAGGAAGCUGCUGCCCCACCACUGACCCCACCGCUCUCCUUCCCUCCUUCCUUC
rnacentral:lncRNA from 1 species